AGGGCACCACCAGGAGUGGAGCCUGCGGCUUAAUUUGACUCAACACGGGAAAACUCACCCGGCCCGGACACUGGAAGGAUUGACAGAUUGAGAACUCUUUCUUGAUUCAGUGGGUGGUGGUGCAUGGCCGUUCUUAGUUGGUGGAGUGAUUUGUCUGGUUAAUUCCGAUAACGAACGAGACUCUAGCCUACUAAAUAGAUCGUCGGCUUACAAACGCCGGCGAGACUUCUUAGAGGGACAGGCGGUGAUUCAACCGCACGAAACAGAGCAAUAACAGGUCUGUGAUGCCCUUAGAUGUCCGGGGCCGCACGCGCGCUACACUGAAGUGAUCAGCGUGCUUUUUCAACCUACUCUGUCAAGAGUGGGGAACCCAAUGGACCUUCUUCGUGAUUGGGAUAGGGGAUUGUAAUUAUUCCCCUUGAACGAGGAAUUCCCAGUAAGUGCGAGUCAUAAGCUCGCGUUGAUUACGUCCCUGCCCUUUGUACACACCGCCCGUCGCUACUACCGAUUGAAUGUUUU
rnacentral:rRNA from 1 species